rnacentral:rRNA from 1 species
UACAGAGGGGGCAAGCGUUGUUCGGAAUUACUGGGCGUAAAGGGCGCGUAGGCGGCCUGCUAAGUCGAACGUGAAAUCCCCGGGCUCAACCCGGGAACUGCGUCCGAUACUGGCAGGCUUGAAUCCGGGAGAGGGAUGCGGAAUUCCAGGUGUAGCGGUGAAAUGCGUAGAUAUCUGGAGGAACACCGGUGGCGAAAGCGGCGCGCUGGACCUCUUCUGACGCUGAGGCGCGAAAGCCAGGGGAGCGAACGGG